rnacentral:lncRNA from 1 species
AAAUAAUUUUACAAGCACUUGGGAAUCGCAUCCGUCCCCUGAAGAAAAGUUUUCAAAGCCCUAAACUAAUUCCCCCAUUCCAUUGUGUCUGCUUUGUGAUUACAGAUACACGACGAUCUAGAGAAGGAUCCGGACUAUUCUGGCUCUGGCUUUGGACCGGAUGACGAGGACGCCGAGCCGGAUCAUCACUCGCAGCACGGUUCGCACAACACGCGCAUCUCGCAGACCGGCGGCUCCAGCAUAAACAGUAAGCAUAAUUCGAACGACAACAGCCACAACGACGACCUCGACCACAUAUCGAGUAGAUUCAACAACAACAACAACAACCUGAACCAAAUCGACAACAACAACAGCCAGAAUAUUAAUUACAAUAAUAAUUAUAAUAAUAAUAAUAAUCCCAACCUUAAUAACAAUCACCAUCCAGCGAAUAGUGGCACAAUCAUUGGUAGUAGCACCACAGCGAACCAUAACAGUAAUCAGAAUCACAUCGGCGGCCAGAGCGGUGGCAUCAUCAGUGGCAGUGGUGGUGAGAUCGGUGGUCAUAGUGGCACUGGCAUUAACACAAUCGGUAAAGAUCAAGCUAGUUUUGUAGCUACUCUAAGCGAGACAUUCUAUCUUCUACUACUUCCACUACUUCAACUUCAACUCCUCCCUCUUCUACCCACCACCACCACACCACAGUACACCACAUUUUAGUUAUUACAAAUCCAACAAUUACACCAUCAACAGAUACAGAGCCGAAAACAACAACAACAACAGCAGCAACAGAUACAGUUACAGUUACAACAGUCAUUGCCAGCUUAGAUUAUAGUUAUGUUAGAUCUAGAGACAACAACACUAACAAUCAAUCAUUCACAACAUCUACAAGAACACCAACACCAACAACCCCAUCUCUAUAUCCAGCAGCUCAUACACCAACACAAACCUCAUCCACAACCUCAACAACAACAAGCAGUUCACCAACAACGACAAGCAGCAGCAGCAGCACCACCACCACCAGCACCAGUACGACAACUGCGGCCACAACCACAUCAACCACAGCUGCCUCGAAUCGCACCCAAACCACGCCUAAGCCCCUUGUUGUCGAUUCCACCACAGCGAGCCGUCCCUUACCCCACUUCCCAGCCUUCGAUGAGGAGCUCGAUGUGGAUGAGGAUGCCAGUGGCGAUGGCAUCGAUGUGGAAGGUGGCGGCGAGGAUGAUGACGAGGGUGACGAUGACGACAUCAUCAUUGAUCAUCCCGAUUCCGGGAAGCCAAAGUUUGCAGUGCCCGUUCCCGAUGGUAGCGAUAACAUCGAUCAUGAUUCUGAUCAUGAUAUCGAUAGCGAUACCGAUGAUGGCGAUGGUGAUAAUGAUGACACCGACGAUGAUGAUAGCAUCAUCGAUGUGGAUGGCGGCAAUGAGGAUGGCACUACCAACGGGAAUGGAAAUGGAAAUGGAAUCCGUGGCAACGAUGGAGACCUCAACACAGAGCGCGGACGUCAGUGGUUUUUAUUUUUACUCCUCUUUUUUAUACUUUCCUUUUGAUUAUUUGCUUUUUUUUGUUUGUCUAUCCGUUUUGCCUUUGCUUUUUAUGUUGUGUUUUUUGUAUUUUGUGUUUCAUUGUUGCUUCUUGUUUUGUCCUCCUCCCACCCACAAUGCGAUUCCUUUUUGUGUUAUGUCUCUGCCCCCAGCUUAUGUUUUGGAGAGACACCAAUUGUGGUAUCUCCGGCACUGCAUUCCUUUUAUCGUAUUUUAUUUAACAUUAUAUUUAUUUUAUUUGUAUCUUCUAAAGCACUUUUUUCAACAGCAAACAAAGUUUUCUCGCUUGCAUUGUAGUUGAUUUCUUGGGUAUUUGCUUUGGUUUCUGUUACGUUACGUUAUGUUACGUAGUUUGAUUGGUGCACACAUUCAAGUAUAUAGAAUAUUCCUUACAAUUACUUACAUAUAUAUAUUUGUUAAGUUUUACCUUAGUUUUUCUCUACUGCGCGCUCUGGCAACGAACAAUGCUGCGGGGUUUCCUUUUGUGUGGACUUUUACAUGGAAUUCCUCCCCGCACACCCCGGCUAUACAAUGGCCAAUACACCAUAAUUCCCACACUUUCAUUCUGUGACCAAUUUUCAUCCAUUGACCAUACCAUUCCAUUCGAUUCAUUCAUUCAUUCAUUCAGUCUGCUUUUGGCAUUUAUUCAUUCAUUUGUUCGAUUGGAAAAACUCCCGCAGAGCCAACACAAUUCCAUUGGCUCGAACCUCAACCUCAACCUCACGCUCAUUCUCAUUCACAUUCUCAUAGACUUUAGUGUUAACCCUAGGAUAAAGCUAUUCUAAGUCACAUAAUUUAAGGAUAGCUUAAGUGUGUUUUAUGUACGCAUCAAAUGAGAACGGUAGACGGGGCAUCCACCAUCCAUCGAUUCAUCGAUUGAGAUGCACCCGCACACGCCCUCCAUCAAGGUUCUGCAUAUAGAGAGUCCUGCCCUAGGCCCAAAGUUCCAUCAACACUGUCGCGGCUCCCCCCUGAAGAACCGCCCUGGAAUCACACUAAGCCGCACAGUGAUUUUGUGCUUUGUUGCUCUUCGAGUGGAAAGCACUUGGAAAGCGCUCCUCACUGCGCUCCACUUGAAAUGAAAAAUCACCAAGUCCCUGGCAAUGGCAGUGGCAAGGAGCGCCUCCAAAUCCACUCCACACAAAACUCCCAACGACUUGGGGGCAUUGUUGCUCUUACCCCGAAACCCAUUCAUCCUUUGUGUAUGUGGCAAACACUAUUUAUGAAGCGAGUGGGGAGGGAGGGAGAGCACAAACAAAGUCUAAUGGGAACCCAGGAGUGGAUCUGAUAGGUGUAUGGGCACUGUGUGUGUGUGCGUGCGUGGGCUGCGAAUAUAUGGCCAGCUUUGAUGUUUGUGCCAGUGCCAGUGCCACGCCCAGUAUAAACACGAAGCACAAACCAUGUGGCAUAUGGCAGGCGUCUAGCACACAGCAGGACCACAAUUUCGGCCAUAAUUGCGUCCACAGCUGUCCAUAUGCUUUAUACUGAGCAUUAAAUCCUGCAGUUCCUAGUGCCAGCAAGUCCAGCAUUAAGUGCAUUUCUCCCCGUCCCACAUCCAAUCGGAGAUACACGGAUGGAUACACCUUUAUUGGCUUCGUGCAAGCAGACAGACAGACAGACAGACAGACACACAAUCAGUUUGAUGGAUACACAUAGACAGGAAUGCUCUAUCACAGGAUGAAGUUAUCUCAAAAUCAGAAGAUGGCAGAUGAGAAAAUGGCAUUAAAAGGCAAAUAUUUCAUUUAUAGCUUCACCGUGGAUGGAGUUCUCGUCGGGUCAGACGCGACUUUGAGAUGUGUGCUUCGAUUCGAUCAUUUUCCAAUGAUUUGCUUGAGUUUCAAUUCGAUUACGAGUGUGUGUCUGGCGGCAAUUCAAUAAGCCUUUUGGCCAUUACCUAAUUAGCAUGCCACUCUCCCAAUCUCACUUACUCCGCACCAAUCUACUCCCCCAAGGAGGGGUGGAGCAUAAGCCACACACAUGUGUGUGGGUAUGUUUCAUGGGGCAAAGUACAUGGGCUAAACAAGCAAAUUGUUUGUCUUAAGCAUAGGGAGGCCAAAGCGGAUUGGGAUCCAGAUGGAAAGAUGAAAACAGACUAGGGGUCAUGGGGUUAAACAAUGGCUCAACAAAGCACAAAGAACACACACGUAAUAAGUGAAGUGGAGGGAGGGAUGUGGGUGUGGGUGUGGGUGUGGGUGUGGCUGUCAAUUAAAUUAAUUUAAAUUUACUUUCUUUGACAGCCAAAUUGUCAUUCAAAUUGCUCUUCUCUUUCAACAUGUCGCUCUCGUGUCAGAUCCGUGAAUACUUUUGAGGUAGGUGUCCAUGGAUUCACCAUCUAUCAUCUCGAAACUGCUCUCGCCUUACGCUGAAGCCUACUGAGAUUUCCCCCAUGCAAAUUUGUCACAAUUUGCAUUACUCCGCCUCUCGGCUGCUAACUUUUUUCAUUUGGCCAUAACUUUUCCGUAUUGCUCAUUAGCGUGAAAUGAGCUCAAAAGUUGGGCUCGUGCGGGUGGGCAAACAAUCAGACAGACAGUCAGUCGGAUGGAUGGGUGGUAGGAGCCGCCGGCAGUACGUAGUCUAGUUUUAUAAGACUUGAAGUUCGGCAUAAGGUAUCCUUUCUACUUGUAAACGUAGUCCCGAAUCACAACUCUACUAACCGUAAGCCUUGUAUAUAUCGCAUAAAAUAUCAUUAACACACGUAACAUAACCACCCUGAAACAGAUAUAGACACUCGAUCCGAUCGGAUAUCGGAGUACUCACCCGCAACAACAGAUCUAUGUCUCUCACUCACAUAAACACACACACACACACACACACACACACACACACACACAUAAACACACACACUAUCUGUUUUUGUAUUAUUUUGCUUGCACGUCAUGGGCAUUCUCGUAAAUGGAUAAUUUUAAUCCCCAGCUAUGACACUCAAUCUCAUCUCUGACUUUAUGCUCUAUUUUCUUGGCACAGCGGGAGGUGGCAGCAGCGUGCACGAGUUGGACCCGAAUACGAACGUAAACAGCCAGCCCUCCGACACAAAGCCCGUCGACCACAGGCCCAACGGCAACGAGGUGGUCAUCAUGAGCGAGGACGAUCGUACGUCGAGCUUCUUCUCGCAGCCAGGAAUACUGGCAGGUAAGAGGCCAUUCCCUCCUUGUUCACCCGACAAUCUCUGACCAUACAUUUUUUCUCAUCCCUGCACCUUUAGCUGUCAUUGGCGGUGCCGUGGUUGGCCUGCUUUGCGCCAUUCUUGUGGUGAUGUUCAUCGUGUACCGCAUGCGGAAAAAGGACGAGGGCUCCUACGCCCUGGAUGAGCCGAAGCGCUCCCCGGCCAACAAUUCCUAUGCGAAAAAUGCGAAUAAUCGCGAGUUCUACGCCUGAGAUAAUGGCACAUCGCGCAGGUAUUAAGUGAGCCAUGAGUGAGGAUCCACCCGUAUGGAGAUCCAUCUCGAACGGGAUACGGAUCUUAGCGGAGGAGGAGAUGACGGCUCAUCUCGAUACACUGUGCGGAGUGCGAAGCGCGGAAGGAGCAGCGCCAUCAGCAGCCAUCUGCCACAAUGAGUAAUCAUCAGCAACAGCAACAGCAAACAGCAAAAGCAAAAGCAACAAAACUAACACAAAUUCAAUGAAAAUCGAAGGCAUCUUCGGAUCACAUACAAUUUUUCGUUGGGGGGGUAAACUAAACGCAUUAAACCAUGAACAACCAAGUAAAAGCGUGCAGAGAUUCGAGAGGAACACAUAAACAAAAACAAUUCAAAACUUACCUGUAAGCUAAUGCCGGACGGUUGACGGAGGAGGGCGACUUUUCUAAUUAAGUAAAUUUUAAGCGACGAAAACAAAAGGAAAACCAAUAUCAAAUAUGAAUGGAAGCGCACGCAAAUCGUGCGAAAUCUAAUAUAUAAUUAAUAUAUAUUAUAUUCAUAGUGAAACCAAUAUAAGGGCGGGCAAAAUUAAGCGAAUUAAUUAUGAAUUACGAGUAUGUAGAGCAAAGGCAGGAGGAGAGCGAGAAAUAAUACCUAUAAUAAUACCACAAAACACGACGCAGCGCCUACAUGGACGAUGUGGAUGGAGGCAGCGACAGACGCAUAUUGAAUACACAAUUAUGAAUAUACGAGUAUAUGUUAGCUGAAUAAUGGAAGCGAAUUGGAUAUAUCAUGAUUAUACACCCGCUCUCGAAAGACCCCUUUAAAUCCAAUGGUCAGUCACUUCCGCCAUCCAUUUCACACCACGGAAAAAAGAGAAUAAAAGUUAAUCCGUUGGGAAUACCAAUAAUUAUUGUGAAUUGCGAAUUGUGCGACACAUAACAAGCGGAAAUUGAUUCAUAAAUUAAUGUUUUUAGGUUAAACAUAAGCAAAACUAUGUAAUUAUUAGUGUAAUUCCUAAAACAAAAACAAGAAGAACCACACAAAUGGAAAAAUACAAAAAAAAAACUUUAAGAGAAAAACGAAAAAUACUAAAUGAAGCAAAAAAACAGAAUACGAACACUCUCUGAACCUUCCUGGCAACUAAACAAACUAAAAAGGAAUUAGUAAUGAAAUGAAGAGAACUAUUUCUACUUUUUUCUAAAUAAAAAAAACACACACAAAAACUUGAAUAUUUAUUGAAAUUGAGAUUGAAAAUAAUAAUGAAAAACGAAAUCGAAAAGUAUAUAAGGACAUAAAACGUCCAGAAAGCGAUUGUACAUUAAUUUAGUAUUCCAUAUGGGUUUUAAAAUUAAUCGGCCAGUCUCCCACGCUCGACUCCACUGCUUCUUCCAUGGCUAAGAAUCAAAAUCGGAUUACGCAUUGAUUAUUGUGCAUUUAUUUAGUUUUUACGUUCGCUGUCAGUGACAAUUGUUUAUUUUUGCAAGCAAAAUACAAGUCCGAAGAACGAAGAACACAAAACAACACGAGCCAACCCAAUCCAAUCCAAUCCAAUCAAAUAAAAUCAAAUCCAAUCCAUUACCACAUGCAAUAGUAAAAAUUACUUGUUAAGUUUACAAUUGAAAUGAAACGCAAACCAGCAGGAAAUGUUAAUGACUCAGCCCUCAAAUUAGCUGCAAUACUUGUUUAAUUGUUAGUCAACCCAUAUUCUCUCCAGCUCUAAUGCCAUAUUUUCAUUACGAAAAGAAGUUAUAAGAACGAAAAAUACUAAUACAUAAUACAUUUAUAUACAAGUAUAUAUAAUUAGCAACAUAAAUCAAUUGUGUGUGUAAAUGUGUGUAAUGCAUAAAUAAUUAAUUAAACAUACAUAUACAUACAUACUACUACUGCGACAACAGAGCGUGCACCAAAGGGGGAAGGAAGCUCUCGGAGAACAUCAUCAUCGAUACAUACUCGUACUUCCCCCAAAUCUAAACCUAAAACCAACCCAAACUCACACAAACAAACAAAAAAGAGAACAACAGCCACAGACACAGCCACAGCCACAUCAGCAAGAGCGACAACAAGAACUAAACAUUUUUCUGAAUACAACUUUUUCUACACUGUAAAAAACGCAACUGCAACUCUUUUGAUAUGUACGAGUACUAUGUUUUGUCCUACUCUCGACCCAUAGUACCUAUUUGUCCAAUUUUACAUACACUUUUUUUGCUAAUUUGUAAGCUUAGUUUGUUAGUUUUUUAAAUGCGCUGAAUGUACUGAGAAAUUGGUUUUGAUUUGCUAAAUAAACUGGUAUAAAACUAAUUUAAACAAAACGAAA